AAUAUUUCGAUCAACAGCACUCAUGGUAUAUGUCUUCCUUAAAAUCAGUAGCCUUUUGCAUCGAAUCCCGGUGGGUACUUCAGUCCUGGCAGCUAAGCAUUCGUUUAUCGGUGUUUGCCGAGAUUCAACCAGACAGAGUCUCUCGACGUCCUUGUUUCAAAUGAGAAGCAGCAAUCGUGCUGCAGCUUUUUCCUUCCAUCGGAUAUCCGCAAUGUGGCCUGGAAACCACCACGCAACCGCCAAUGCCGCCUGCGAAAAGAAUGGCAUAGAAAGACUGCCGGAGCCGAACCUCUAACCGCUGAGCAGACGCACCGGCCGGCAGACGAAAUCGCGUUGCAUCCUACGGAUGUCAACAAAACUGGAUAGUGGAUAAAAUCUUAGAAAGAGGCUCAUAUACCUGAAGGCUAUUCAUGUUGGACUCGUUGAGUAAAGGUAGUAGACUUCGUAGCCAGGAGAGAAUAAUUGGUGUCUUUGACAAAGGAAAGUUUUGGAAGUAAAUAUUUCGAACCAACUUCCAACAAGACUUGAUUCCCUUUUUAUACCGAUUCCUUGCGUCUUUAGAUACGACAUGGACUCUCGAUAGAUACAUGUAUGCUUUGAAAAACACACUGACCGUGAAAGUUGAUUGUCAACCGUCCUUGGAUUAUUUGGCGCGUGAACGGGAAAUGAUGACGACGAUAGUUGCGACUCGGAGAACGCUUGGGUUUGUUUGUUUUGUUGGGAUUAUUCUGCUGCAGUCAGUUUCAGGCUCUAAAUUAAUCAAAUGUUACGUAUGCGAGUCGGCCAACACGGAGAAAGCGUCGUGCGCUGAUGGCGAGCUGAGCGGAGCACCAACAAAAGAUUGCCAGACCACUUGUGCCAAGGUCACGAAUGCAACUACUAUAACGCGGAAAUGCACAUUGUGGAAGAAUUCAGAUGGAUGUGAGAAGGAAACUGAUGGCCAAAUCAAAUGUUUCUGCAACCUUAACUAUUGUAACUCAGCCUCCACUCUAACGAGUUAUCGUCUUCUUACCUGUAUAAGCGGUGCCUUAGUGAUUAUCAAACAACUUUUGUAAUGAAAUUUUUCUAUCAGUUUCACUCUUCUAAGUCCAGCGGCGGUAGAGACAGACUUUUGAAAACAGAUAUUUAUACAAACUUAGCAAAGCUAACAUUAGAACUGAAGAUUUGUAGCCGAUAUCAAUAGUAGGCCUCGAGCAGAUUUUACACCAGAUGGCAUUUUUCGCUAUAACUACGGCGGACACAUAUACAAAGUUAUACUGUCAACAAACGUACAGCGCAUGAACAUACAAGGCUAUAUUGCCGAAAGACAUACAAAGGUUAUCAUCAACCAGUGGCCUGGCCAUAGUAAUAUUUGAAUCUCUGAAAAAUCAGUGAACAAUAGUUUAGGACUGUUAAAAUGAUAGGACUCUAUUUACUUUACCACCGAGACUUAUCUUACAAAUAUAUGUUUACAAGGUCUUUAUGCCGAGGACAAAGCGUCUUAUUGUCUGACCAUUCACUGGAAUGACAUCAUCGUCACAUUUCUAAAGCUGAUCGCGGGUCGCGAGUUGCGUGAACUGCAUAACAUAAUCCCCUAAGGAAUGUUCGCGCUGAGGACCUGACAUCCUCGUGCGUGACUUCAUCGUUCUGUGGAAGUUUUUAAGAAACAAAUACAUGUUGUCCAAGUAUUAAUGUACUCAAUCUGUCCACUCUAAUUUUCUAAUUUGAUGCUGUAUUACAAAAUGGACGAUUUCUUCUCUGUUCUUCCCACAAAAAUUAAUAAA